AGUGAACGCUGGCGGUAGGCCUAACACAUGCAAGUCGAACGGCAGCACAGUAAGAGCUUGCUCUUACGGGUGGCGAGUGGCGGACGGGUGAGGAAUACAUCGGAAUCUACUUUUUCGUGGGGGAUAACGUAGGGAAACUUACGCUAAUACCGCAUACGACCUACGGGUGAAAGCAGGGGAUCUUCGGACCUUGCGCGAUUGAAUGAGCCGAUGUCGGAUUAGCUAGUUGGCGGGGUAAAGGCCCACCAAGGCGACGAUCCGUAGCUGGUCUGAGAGGAUGAUCAGCCACACUGGAACUGAGACACGGUCCAGACUCCUACGGGAGGCGGCAGUGGCGAAUAUUGGACAAUGGGCGCAAGCCUGACCCAGCCAUACCGCGUGGGUGAAGAAGGCCUUCGGGUUGUAAAGCCCUUUUGUUGGGAAAGAAAAGCAGCAGGUUAAUACCCCGCUGUUCUGACGGUACCCAAAGAAUAAGCACCGGCUAACUUCGUG
rnacentral:rRNA from 1 species